rnacentral:rRNA from 1 species
UUGAUAACUGGAAUGAAGGAUUUAACAAAUAAAAUAUAUUUUGUUAAAAUUAAUAUAAUUUUAAUUUUUAAGUAAGAAUGCUUAAGUAUUUUAAAGGGACGAUAAGACCCUAAAAACUUUAUUUGUUAUUUUAUUUUUAAUUGUUAUUUUAUAUUUAGGGAAAUAUUAUUUUUAGUUGGGGCAACGGGUUUAGUUAUUUAAAUUAAAGCAGGCUUUUUAAGGUUUUUGGUCCUUUUUAUAAGGAUAUAUAGAAUUAGUUACUUUAGGGAUAACAGCAUAAUAAAUUUGGAAAGUUCUUAUUGAUAGAUUUGUUUGUGACCUCGAUGUUGAAUUGAGUAUUUCUUUGUGGAGUAGUAGCUAUUAAAGAGGGUUUGUUCAACCUUUAAA